GAGCGCGUGCGGCGGCCCGAGCACAUGGGGGGAAAACGGGCUCGGGCGAGCUGCCUCGGAAACUGGAAGUGGGCGACCGUACCCCUCCGGACCCGUCGCUGCACCCCUUUUGGAUCUACGCUCGGGAAGGGAUUUUAGCCGCUCGAUGACCUUUGGAUACAGGGUCGGAUUCACCCUCCAGUGCUGAGAAGUCCGUCACGUGGCUUUCACGAGUUUGCUCGUCAUCAUUGGUGGAGGGCCAUGGAUGCCAGCCACCUGUGUUCGACUCUCUGCGACUCCGUUUGGGGUUUUUUUGGCCAUUUCCUUGUCCAACUCAUUUACAGAUGAGGAAACUGAGGCAAAGAAGGUUAAGUGACUUGCCCAGGGUCACACAACUACCAAGUGUCUGAAACUUGAUUUGAACCUGGUUUUGGUCCUGAUCUUUUGACCAGAAAAGAAAUAAAAAGAUGAGCCUUCUGACAGUUUCCUCUGUCUGUUUUAUGGAACUACCGCUCAAGGAUUUCCAAGACCUGUGGAUUUACAGACAUAGCAAGGCACCUGGGGGAAUGCUGAUGAAGGAAUCCUCUGGAAUGCCAUGCUGCUAUCAUUUGCAUUGUUUUUUCCAAAGAUGGCUUGGUGAAGAACCCAUAUUGAGUUUCUUGUGGGAGAUCUUAAGUUGGAUUCUUUUGAAGGCUGAUUGAGAAGAGGAGGGCUUUUUCAUUGAAGGAAGAGAUUUUGCUUCAUCCCUUUCUUUUUAAACAAUAGUGGUCUUUAAAAAGCAAAGAACCCCUGAGAUGGGGGAAGACGAGGAAGCUUACUCCAGACAAGUCAAAACACUACCGCCUUGACCACCACCUCCCCUCAGAAACUGUUGGAGACAAUCCCAGGAGCCUUAGGAAUAGUAGUGCUUGUGGCCUAGUGUCCACAGUUAUCAUCUGGGGAAGAAAUCCCUAUGGGGAUGCAGCUUGGUAAUGGCUCCUUUGGGGGCUACAGAUGAAGCUAUCAAAGACCCAAAAGAAAAAGUUCUUGGCACUGCCGAAUGGCUUAACAUCAGAAAUGGAUAUAAUUUUAUGAGUGCAAUUGAUGUGAAAGACAAACCUUAAAUUCAUUCAUUUAUUACUAUGUUGUCAAACUCAGGAAUUUUUACACAUUGUAUUUAUUCCAUUUUGCUUUUUAUUCUAUUAGAUAUACAUCUUUUUUAAAAAAAAAAUUUAACUUUCAUGAAGAAAUGUUAAAUGUUUUAUACACAUCAAUAAAUUCAUUGUUGUCCUGUAGCAUCGUAAUUGAAACACUGGCUUCUGUAACCCAGUAACUCAUUGAAAUGCUUUUAACAAUUGUGUUAUGGUCUGUCCUGAGGAGUAUGGGAUUUUUCUUUUGCUUUUCUUGGUGGGGGGGGAUUUUUCCAUAUGACUUGCAGCUGAUGUGUUGUCUCCCCCAUUA